rnacentral:lncRNA from 1 species
GGCCCACCACUUGAAGAAAGCCCGGACCCGAAUCCCGUCCAGCUCCGCGAUGCGACCCUGCUCGAUUUUCCCCCUGAUUUUGUUUGAGUAAGUGGCCAGGUAGUUGUCCGGCGGGAGCGUCAACCUACACGCACCUCCGAGAUGAACGAAGAACUCGCCCGAGGUUUGGUUUAGAGUGUAGCUCUGAACCGAGGCAGGAAGGAGCCCGAUCGGGAACCCGUAGUUGGUUAGCUCCGCAUGGGCCAGGGUCGGCGGGUUCGGGUCCGAAGAUGACAGAGGUAUCAGGACGAGAAGAAUAGAGAGAAGCAGGGGGGAUUUGAGCAUUGUGUCUUUUUUUUUUUUUUAUACUUUUUCGCUUUAUUUUUUAGGAAUUGAGGAUCUUUUUAGUGCGUUUCCAAAUGUCCAAUCGUUUGGAUUCUUUCGGUAUCGGAUUUCAUUUAUUUAUUUAUUUCAAAAUUUUGGAGGAGGAAGAGAAGAAUGUGGAUAAGGAAAGGAUUGACUAUGGCCAGGCAAAUGACUGACGUGGUAAACAACGAAACUUCGCAAAAGAAGAGAUGCAACGCCAGCGUUUUGUCGGACUCGUCCACUUGCGACAGUUGAAAGCGAGCGAUUGUGAUGCGAAGUCCAAAACUGCAAGACGAGGAUACCAAUUGGGCUGGACAGGCCCGAUGACAGCUUGGUUAAUGACCCAUGUGAUUUUUUGUAGGGAUGGCAAUAACGAGGGAAGAAAAGGGUUCCGCCAUCCCCCUACUUAUUCUUUAUAUUUUAUAUAUGGUCUUUCCUCCUCGAUCCUUUUAGAAUUACCUGGGAGGAGGCGAUAGGUUCCCGAAUGAUAACAAAGAAUCUACGAGGUUUCAAUUCCUAAAUAAUUAAUAUAUUUUUAGUUUUUAAACUUAAUUUAAUUAUAUUAAAAUAAAUAAAAUUUGGUAAUAUAUCUUACAUGAAUAUUAAUUUAUUAAAAAAGUUACACUACACAAUAUAAAUUAUCAUAAUAAUUAUCUUAGUAAAUCUUUACAAUCCUAUAACUAAAAAAAAAAAUUACUUUUAUAUCAAUAAUGAAAUAAUUGAAAUAGAUAUGCAUACUUAAAUAAAUGAGAUGAGGAGGUAAUGUGCUAUUGAGCUAUGAUGAGAUGAAGACGAGAUAGUGUGCUAGUUGAGGUACGAAUAAUUUGGAAAGAAUGGGUGAGACUAUGAGCGAGUGGUUAAGGGUUUGAUUUAUGGAUUGUGCGCUUGUCGGUUAUAGUCUUUGGGCUGUUGUUGAGUUUAAAUCAUAUUAAAGUCUUUAUAUUCAUUAAUACUUAUGUCAAAAAAUCAAAUGUAAUUUACAAAAAUUAACAAACAAAUUUAAAAAAAUAUUUAAAACUACUAAAAUUUUAAAUUUCAGAUAUUUAACAAACAUAUCCUAAGAUUUAUAUCUUUUGAUAAAAGUUCUAUAUCAUACUAUCUUCAUGGUACAAUUAAUGACUGUAACCCGUAAUUCUUUCGUUUGUUAAUCCUUCCAAGGAACAUAUUAAAUACUUUCAAGGAAAAAAAAAAGAAAGAAAAAUACUCCAUCAAAAUUAUUAAUGUUAGAAUUGAUUUUUUUGCAUUCCAUUAAAUUAUAUUAAAACCCUAAAAACCAAUAGACAUUAAAUAAACACUAAUCUAAACUAAAAAAUUUCAUACUUUAUUCUCUAUAAAGAAAAUUCUUCUUUACCAAACCAUUGCUAUCAUCUUAUGGUUAUUAUACUCAUUCCAGUUAGUCAACUUUCCAAGUGCUAUCAUUAUAAUCAUUUUAUUUUAAAUUAUUAUUGUUCUUAUUUUUUUUACAAAUUUUAAUUUAUUUUUUGCAUUGACAUAUGACCAAAAAAAAGAGUAAAUUUUGAGCUAUUUUAUAUUUCUUUUAGAGCUGAUGUUGUUGAAUAUAUGAAGGCCUAAAAAAAAGUUCGCUUAAAGCCUAAGUGAAUUAAUAAAUAUUUGUUUGCCUUCCCAACACAAAUAAGAGAAAAUUUGAGGUUUUCAAUAAUUUUAAGAUAUUUUGAAUAUUAUCAUUUGGCAGAUUCUGUAACAUACGCACCCAAUGCAUGCACCACACCUGUCCUGCAAAUGGAGAAAAAAAUGCAAUUGUUUUUGUUUGGUAGCUAGCUAACCAAUCAGGAGCUGGUUAAGUUGGAUCUGUAUGUUACAGAAUCUGUAGCUUAGCCAUCUCCUAUCAUUUGAUGAGAAGAGUUAUUCGAAAUUAAACUUCAAUAAAAAAAAAAAAAUCAAUCUCUCUGAUUUUUGCAGGCAAUACAAUGGCCCCGUUUAGACCUAUAUUUGGGGAAAAAAUUUCGCCUCCUUUAUAGGCGUGGGGCAGGUGCGCUGGCGCCAAACGGGCUACAAGCAAUGUGGUCCUCUUGGCGACGUGGUCAUAACAAAGCUGAAACAGACGUUGAUUCACUGACAGCAGAGAUGUGACAUGCACAGACUUACGUAUAGACCUGGGCCUACUAGUCACCCACCGCCCCUGAGCCACUACUCCAAACAGUUUAAAAUUAUUUAAUAAUUGAUAGAUGCAAUCAACAACAAAAAAAAAAAAAAAAAGGAAAAAGGAUGAAGGAAACGACAGCCUGGUCAUUGAUUGGCUGAAUUUCAGAUUAUUGCCGUAAAACAAAUAAUUUUUAAAAUAUUUAUUUUUUGAAUUAUUACAAAUUUUAAUUUAUUUUUAUUUUAUUUAAAAUAUAAAAAAUAGAGAUAAAUUUAGCGCUAAAUAAAUUAGGCGGUGGUGUAGGAUCCCAUACUUUUAAAAGGCUCUAUUUUUUAGGUGAUUAUUCUUUAAAAUUUUAAGAAUUUUCUUUUAAGUUACGUAGGCAGAAAAUUAAUUUUUAUUUUCUAUAUUAUUGUUAAUAGAUUAGAGAUCUAUAGAAUUGACUGAAAAAAAUGAUAGUAAUUAAAAUCUUUAUUUGCAACCAUCCGGUUUCAGAUUUAAAUCUUAAAAAAAAAAUCAAGGUUUAAACCCUAUAAUAAAUUAUGAUCGGAGUCUAAAGCAAAAGAUCAAAUCCGGUCGCAUACCCACAUUUUGCUAUUCGUAUUGAGAAAUUUUAAAAUACCUCUAAUGUAUUACAAUUAAUUGAUGCAUGUAUGACAUGUGUGGUUAAAUUUAAUAUAACCUUUGCUUGUAUGGAGGUUUUUCAAAAUAAAAAUACAUAUGUCAUGCAUGUUAUAUGAUUGACAUAGUACCUAUGAUGUAUUCUAAAAUUUUUCAUCCGUAUUACCAAUUUGCCAUUCUUACAACUAAUUAUUCAAGAGGUUCAGCAGUUUUGAUAUUUUUCACUUAUUUGUUGCUUGCAUUAUCACCAUUCUUCUUGUCACCUUUUUAUUAGGAGGCUCAAGAGUCCUGAUAUUUUUUAUUUUGUUUGUUGCUUGCAUUAUCAAUAUUCUCGUUGUUACUAUUUGCGAGUUUGUCAUAAUCAUGUAAAUUAAUCUGAUUAAAAAAAAAUUUCGGGCAUAUGCCAAGAGUUGAAUGCGGAUUAAGUUUCUGUUUUAUUUCAGAAAAUGAAGCCUAAAGAAUUCAGUUCAAAUUAAGAUAUUUUUUAAAUUAAUUUAUUCAUCUCUAACUUUCUGAAUGCAGUAUGUAGAUACAAACUAUAAAGUAGAACAAUGAAGAGGUGAAGCAAGAAUCCCACGAGUUUUUUUAAUUUUUAAUUUUUAAUUUUUAAUUUUUAAUUUUUAAUUUUUAUUUCUUUAAUGGAAAUCCAAUGAGAGCUUAAAUUACUAAACUGCAACCGUGGCUUGAAGCUUUCUAGUAACAGAAUCAAAAUUACAAUAAACUUUUUACGUACCUUGUUCCCUAAUGCAUCAAGACCAUAAGCACUCGAGUUCUAAUAAAUGAGUGAAUCAUCAUAAUUUAUGCUCUUUCACAAAAAUAUUAUGAACUUAUAGAUUAAAACUCGUUAAUUUGGUAGAAUAUAAAAAAUUAACUAAAUUAAAAAAACUUAAAAAAUUUUAAAAAUAAAAAAAUUUAUUCAAUUCAAAUCUGCCGGCCAUAAUUGACAACAGCUGCUUAUGAACGAGACCACUUGCAUAUUGUUAUGUUAAGUAGGCCAAUUAAUCAAUCGCCCACCGCUUCCAGUACGGCAAACUAUGUUUAGUAAUUGACAUAAAAUAAAAGAAGAAAGGAGCAAAGAAACAACAACUAGAGCCAAUCUCCAAGCAAAUAUGGAUCUUCAAAACAGACAGAAGCUUCACAUAGCAAUGUUUCCAUGGCUGGCUUACGGCCACAUCAUGCCUUUUUUCCAAGUCGCCAUGUUUUUGGCUGAAAAGGGUCACCACGUAUCUUACAUCUCCACCCCAAAAAAUAUUGAUCACCUCCCACAAAUUCCCACGAGUUUGUCCUCCCGUUUGAGCUAUAUACAGCUUCCUUUGCCUCAACUCGAUGGCCUGCCAGAGGGAGCUGAGUCAACUGCCGAGUUACCCAUUCACAAAGUUCCUUAUCUUAAAAAGGCCUACGACUUGCUCCAACUUCCCUUGACAAACUUCCUCCAAGUUUCACGCGUCAACUGGAUCAUUCACGACAUUAUCUCUCACUGGUUGCCUCCUGUCGCCGCUCAAUUCGGCGUCAACUCAGUCUUCUUCAGCAUAUACAGCGCCGCAACUCUUUGUUUUCUUGGCCCGCCUUCAGACCUGAUCGCAGGUCGCCGCCAGAAGCCGGAGGACUUCACGGUAGUCCCGGAGUGGAUAGACUUUCAAUCUAAUCUUGCUUUUAAGCCCUAUGAGACAGUAAUCAACAAGGACGGCAUGGACGACUCAGUGUCCGAUCAUCUUCGCUUUGCAUUUGUGCUUCAAGAUUGCCGAGUCGUGAUUCUUAGGAGCUGUGCAGAGUUUGAACCCGACGCUCUUCGUUUACUCGGUAAGAUUCUCCAAAAACCGGUUUUACCGGUCGGCUUUCUCGCACCAUCACUCCAAGAUUCCGCGGCGGGUGAGCAUUGGCCGGUGUUAAAAGACUGGCUUGACAGUAAGGAAAAUAACUCGGUGGUUUAUGCUGCAUUCGGGACUGAGAUGACUCUUAGUCAAGAGCUGCUGCAUGAGUUAGCUUAUGGACUAGAGAAAUCCGGGUUGCCUUUUAUUUGGAUAAUCAAGAACCGCCCACUUGUUGAAGGGGAAUCGGGCCUGGAUCAUCUUCUCCCUCCCGGGUUUCAAGAACAGGUCUCUGGUACGGGCUUGGUGUGGACAGAUUGGGCACCUCAGUUAAGGAUCUUGGCCCAUCCAUCUAUUGGUGGGUUCUUGACACACUCUGGUUGGAGUUCCGUCAUUGAGGCGCUCGGGUUGGGUCGGCCGUUGAUUUUACUCCCCGGAAGUUCGGAUACUGGGUUGGUUGCUAGGUUGAUGCACAGCAGGCGGCUCGGGCUUGAGGUAGAGAGAAAUGAGCAAGAUGGGUCGUUUACGAGGGACUCAGUGGCCGAUUGCAUUAGGCGAGUCGUGGUGGACCACGAAGGUGAGCCACUUAGAGCGAAUGCACGGGCAAUGAGAGAGAUCUUUGGCAGUACGGAUUUGAGCUACAAGCAUUUGGACGAGUUCACUCGGUUCAUUGAGAAUUAUACCGCUUCAACUAAGUCUCUUUGAUCCGUGGAUGCUAUUUUUCAUUUUGUAGUAAAAAGUAUUGAAGGGCAAUGUAAAUGGAGGGAAACCUUGUUCCUCAAGUUUUAUUCGCAAAACAUCAUAUCUAUUGUACAAUGCUUUGGCAUCACCAUCUCUUUGAAAUUUCUACCUAAUUUUUUAGCUAAAAUUUUACAAAAUGUAUAUACGAUAACACAGUUCAAAACAAUCAUACCCAGAAUAAUUUCAGAACUCCAAUAUUACCAUUAUUCAUAAAGAGAAGAGACUGACACAGCCAUAAUAAAGGCUGAAAUCCAUAACCGAAUUUACAGAUUACAUGCAGGAAAAGAAAUACCGUGAGGAUUUCAUCCACCUGGUAAAGAUUGACAUAAGCAGUCUACAAACCUACAAAUUCAUUGCCUAGUGGCUAGUACUCCCUGAUUUAUGUUAAUAUAAUAUUAAUUCCUGCAGCAAACGGCAAGCCCUGCAAAGAAAUAUGAAAAUUCUUGACGUGAGUUUGAUAGAAUUUUUUGUCCAAUCAUCAACACCAUAACAAGUCGACUAGAAUGUGAAUUAUGCAUAACCAAGUAAAAUUAUGCAUGAUGCAGACGAAAGCAUUGUAGAAUGUGAAUUACGAGUUAAAUUAAGCAUAUUGGUAUAUAAAACGUAUUAAUGUGUACUAUGCUUACUAUCCUACAGAAUGGACAAUGGCAUUUCUAACAAGCUCAAAUAGGAAGUCUAUUUUUAAUAUGCAUGUCUUGGACCUCGUGGUAAAAUUUGUAAGAAGAAACGGUUGCUCUCUAGUCUCCGCAUGAGGCAUUCAGCAAAUAAAACUCCAUUGUCUGCAGAAAAGAACUAGAGUUUUCAGGUCCAACAUUAUUGCAAUAAAAUUUACUUGGCCUUAAUACUAAAAGUGUUCUUUUGCAACUCAACAUCAAUUUCAGCCGCCAAAUUCAGGCAUAAACACGCAUUCAUAUUUUCUAAAAAGGAUCUUAACAACUCUCCCCAUUACUAACUAUGAAGUAGAACCAUGAAGAUGAAGCUGUUAGAAGCUAUGAUCUAAUAAGUGUCUGAUUUAUUAUGUUCAACUCUGGCUUGUACUGUUCUUUGAACAGCAUCAAAUUCACAAUGCAAUAUUAUCAUACUUCCUCAUUCAUCAAUACCACAAUCACUUAAGGGUUCCAGUACGUGUACGAAUAACGCUUGAAUUAAAACCACUGAAUUGGGAUUUGGGAUAUGCCAUUUCCACUUCUUAUUUCCUUGUACGGUCACUCGACAAGACUUUCAGUUCCCUCGCCAAACUACAAACUUGCCCCUCCUACCACUUUCUAAUACAUUUCUAUUUAUUCCGAUAAUAAAAAUUAAAACUUUACUCUAAAAUUGAUCAAUGUAACAGCAAUUAAUUAUUUUAAAAAAAAAUUGAAUUUUAGAAACCCAAACCUACAUCAAGCAGCUGAUUUAUGGCCGUCACACUCGGGACUUUCAUCAAAAUUCUUACUGGGAUACUUAGCCGUGACCAUUCCAACUUCAAACACCAAAUUAUCCCCACUUGAUCGGAUCCCCGUGAUGGCCCACCACUUGAAGAAAGCCCGGACCCGAAUCCCGUCCAGCUCCGCGAUGCGACCCUGCUCGAUUUUCCCCCUGAUUUUGUUUGAGUAAGUGGCCAGGUAGUUGUCCGGCGGGAGCGUCAACCUACACGCACCUCCGAGAUGAACGAAGAACUCGCCCGAGGUUUGGUUUAGAGUGUAGCUCUGAACCGAGGCAGGAAGGAGCCCGAUCGGGAACCCGUAGUUGGUUAGCUCCGCAUGGGCCAGGGUCGGCGGGUUCGGGUCCGAAGAUGACAGAGGUAUCAGGACGAGAAGAAUAGAGAGAAGCAGGGGGGAUUUGAGCAUUGUGUCUUUUUUUUUUUUUUAUACUUUUUCGCUUUAUUUUUUAGGAAUUGAGGAUCUUUUUAGUGCGUUUCCAAAUGUCCAAUCGUUUGGAUUCUUUCGGUAUC